UCCAAUCCAAUUAAUAGAUUGCAAGAAAUCUUAAAAACCCCCACUGAACCUAAAAUUCUACUUUUUGAGACCUUGACCCACUUAAACCUCAAUAUCCCUCAAUUAAACCGUUAGAUCAAGCUCAAAUUUACGACACAUAUUGAAAACAAAUAUAACCAUAAAUCCACAAAAUUUCAUCUGUAGAUCUGUUGUAAAACUCUUGAAAUCACCCAAAAUAUAAACCCUAUUUUAUUUCAUAAAACCCAAG
rnacentral:lncRNA from 1 species